CAUUUAUUAAUAUGGAGUGUUAUUUACUCAAACUAGGGCUCUCAUAGGCGUUGAGUGGAUAGAUAGUUUUGUGUGUGCUAGAUACAUCAGUUUACUUGAAAAGAUUGGAAAUAAAUAACAGGAAAUUGGUUGGUGCUUAGAUAAUUAUUGGAAAGCAAAAAAUAAAACUAAGCUAGGAAAAUAAUAAGAAUCCUUUAUUCUCUGCUUCCACUCAGGGUGAAUCAGGACCAGUGCAAUAAAUCACCCUCAAUACUUCCUGUGAAUGGCAACUGCUGAAGGGAAGCUUCUGCCUCUCAUCAUACACUGCCUCAGGGGGGAACAAAAUAGAUCAUUACAAUGGAGGCCAAAGAGUGCUUGAAUGUCUCUGCCGAAGGCUUUCAAUAAAUAUUUGUUGAAAAAGAAAGGAAGAAAGAAAAUGAAGAAGGAACGAAGGAGGAAAGGAAAGAAGGAAAGAAGGAAGGAAGGAGUUAAUGAAGACUCAAGUUUCCAGGUGCUGUGCUCAGUCCAGGAAUACAAUGAUGAAUACGAUCAAGGCCCUUUCAGAGCUGACACACACUAUACAUAAUGCAUCAAAAAUUGCGUUCUCGCUAUAUUUCUGUUUAUUUGGUUUUAUCUGCAAGAAUAUAGAUAGCAUCUGCUUUGAUAUAAAACUUUUAUGUGUCUUAUGUAGUUGAUUUGUAAAUGUCCUAUCUAUAAAUAUAAAACAAUAAAUUACUAGUUACAGUUAACUUAGGAAAACUUUUAAUCAUGUCCUACAUUUUACACCUUGUAAUUUCUACCAAAUGUUUGUAUUUUUAUGUCUUAUUAAAUAUAAUAAAUAUUUGUCUUAACAUAUUUUAAUAGAAUUCCUCAUAUGUUUUGCAGAAAGCUAAUUAUGGUUUUC
rnacentral:lncRNA from 1 species